ACACUAAACCCUAGAAGCUCUAUAAAUAGCCCUCCUCACAUUCCUUCCCACGGGCCCCACCUCUCCCUACUUUUCUUUUCUUUUUGUUCAGACUAUUCUCUCUCAUUAAUUUCCUGAACAUUUACCCUUUUACCCUUUCUCUUAUACGUGUGAAUUAUUGGUGGUCUUACAAUACCCCUAGGCUCUAGAUUCACCUUGUCCUCAAGGUGAAAACUUGGAAAUUGUUGAUUCAUCGGUACACAGAUUCUCAAGUAGCUUCUGUUUCAUGUAAUCCUUUCCAUUUCACCAGCCAUUCAUUUCCUCCUAAUUCUCCAUUCCAGCGAACACCAAGCACCGUCUCAGGACAUAGUUGUAACUCAAAAUCAUCAAUGAGUGUGGGGUGUUGAUGCCGUAUCGUGUGUUUCCCUCCUAACUUGAACUUCAGUUGUGAGACAUGGAAUAUGUUAUGGAUGGCAGCUUCCGGAGGUAACUGUAAACGAUAAGCGACUUCCCCUAUUUCUUCAAUGAUCUUGUAGGGUCCGUAGUAUUUGGGAGCAAGUUUUUCACACCUCCUCUUUGCUAAUGAUCUCUGCCGAUAGGGCCUUAGUUUCAAGAAUACUUCAUCACCUUCCUUGAAUUUGAGCUCCCUUCUUUUGAGGUCAGCCAUCUUCUUCAUCCGAUUCUACGCUAGACAAAGGUUUUCUUUCAAGGCACUAAUGGCCAUGUCCCUUUCCUUCAAUAUUGUUUCCACUUCAUUAUUUGGGGUCUUUUGAUGUCCGUAUGAUAACAGGGAUGGGGGUGGUCUGCCAUAUACAGCUUGAAAGGGAGUGAUCUUAGUAGAGGCAUGGAAGGUGGUAUUAUACCAUAGCUCAGCCCAUGGAAUGAAUCUGUCCCAACAACUUGGUUGCUCAUUACAAAAGCAUCUCAAGUAUGUCUCUAAGCAUUUAUUCACUCUUUCAGUCUGUCCAUCGGUUUGUGGGUGAAAGGCGGUGCUUCUCUUCAAGAUGGUUUCCAUAGAAGCGAACAAUUCCUUCCAGAAGUUGCUAAGGAACACUUUGUCUCCGUCUGUUAUUAGGGAUUUUGGAAUUCCAUGCUUACUCACGACCCUAUCUAUAAUAAAACAGCCACCUGUUUAGCUGAGAAAGGGUGUUUAAGAGUUAUGAAGUAUGCAUACUUACUAAGCCUGUCCACGAUUACCAUAAUAACAUUCACUCCCCCUGCUGUCGGUAAGCCCUCUAUAAAGUCCAUGGUCCAGUCUUCUAAAAUUCUUUCUGGAAUGGGAAGAGGCUGCAAAACUCCCGCUGGUUUGGUGGCUUCAAACUUGUUCCUCUGACAGAUCUCACACUGCUGCACAUAUUUCUUUACAUCAGUCUUCAUGCCUUGCCAAUGCAAUUCUCCACUCAUUCGUUUAUAUGUCCUUAAAAAUCCAGAAUGACCCCCUAGGAUGGAAUCAUGGAAGGUGUGAAGAAGGCUGGGUAUCAAUGAGGAUGUUUUAGGAAGCACCACCCUACCUUUGUAUAAUAAUCUUCCUUUUUCCCACUGAUAUUUGCUGGUUUCCUCAUGAUUCAUUUCCAACUUCUUAAUAAUUUUCUGAAGUUCUUCAUCCUUUUCUAUCUCCCUUCCUACUAUCUCCAUGUCAACAAUCCCUUGCGUUGUCAAAGAGUUCAAUUCUGGUAGUUGUUCCUUUCUUGAUAAAGCGUCCGCCACUUUAUUUUGGGGACCCGGUUGGUAGAGUAUUUCAAAAUCAUACCCGAGGAGUUUAGUUAACCAUUUUUGGAAUUGCGGCUGCAAUUUCCUCUGCUCCAGCAAGAAUUUUAACGCCUUUUGAUCUGAAAUAAUGGUGAAUUUCCUCCCCAGUAGAUAGUGUCUCCAUUUUUGCACUGCAAGGACUACUGCCAUCAACUCUCUUUCAUAUAUGGAUUUGGUUUGAGCCCUUGAUGACAAUUUUUGGCUGAAGAAUGCUAUAGGAUGGCCAUUUUGAGAUAGCACCGCCCCUAACCCAAUUCCUGAAGCAUCCGUUUCCACCCUAAAAGGAAGUGUCCAAUCAGGUAAAGCCAGCACCGGAAAGUAGUCAUAGCAAGUUUCAGUGCCUCGAAAGCCUGUGUGGUUUCUUCAGUCCAUUGGAAGGAAUUCUUUUGUAACAAUUUCGUCAAAGGUGCCACAAUCUCUCCAUACCCUUUAACAAAUCUUCGAUAGUAUCCUGUUAGGCCCAAAAAUCCUCUUAGACUGGUCACAUCUUUUGGUUGCUGCCAGUUUGUCAUGCUUUUAAUUUUUUCCUCAUCCGCUUCUACUCUUCCUUUGGAGAUUUGAUGUCCCAAGUAUUCAAUCUUGGAGUGGGCUAUUACACACGUUUUUUUGUUUGCAAAGAGUUGAUUAUCCUUCAAAACAGCAAAAACCAUCCCUAAGUGUUUCUCAUGCUCAUCGAUAUCAGCGCUAUAUACCAGAAUAUCAUCAAAGAAAACUAAUACAAAUCUUCUCAAGAAGGGUUUAAGUACUUGGUUCAUGAGAGAUUGAAAAGUAGCAGGGGCGUUAGUGAGACCAAAUGGCAUUACCAUAAAUUCGUAAUGUCCCUCGUGCGUCCUGAAAGCCGUCUUCUCUAUGUCUUCCUCCUUCAUUCUGAUUUGGUGGUAUCCUGAUUUCAGAUCAAGCUUCGAAAAAACAGUAGCUCCAUGCAGUUCAUCUAGUAAUUCUUCUAUGACUGGAAUGGGAAAUUUGUCAGAAGUUGUAACUUGGUUCAGCUUCCUAUAAUCUACACAGAACCUCCAACCCCCAUCUUCCUUCUUUACUAAUAGGACUGGGCUGGAGUAAGGGCUAUGACUCGGUCUAAUAACUCCGGCUGCAAGCAUUUCUGUGACUAACUUCUCAAUUUCUUCUUUCUGCACAUGGCCGUAUUUAUAAGUGCGGACGAUAAUCGGUUUCUGUCCAGGGAGAGUCAAUAUCCGAUGGUCAAUAGCUCUUUUGGGGGUAAGCCUUUUCAUAUUUCAAAGAUGACACCGUAUUGUCUUAAUAAUGCCUUAAUCAAUGGUAAAUUUUCCUCGUCCCCUUUCACUUCCUGUUCCUCUUUGUAUUCAUUUUCUACUUCCGUUUCGUAAUUUUGGAAGCCAAGGAGGAACCCUUGGUCGUCAUCUUCCCAUGUUUUUCCCAACGUUUUCAGUGAACAUUCAGCUUUAAUGAGGGUUGGAUCUCCCUUGAGAGUGAUUUGUUUCUCUCCCACUUGAAACGUCAUGGUCAGUGAGGGCCAAUGGACCUUCAUAGUUCCUGUGGUAUCUAACCAUUGCAUUCCCAAUACCACAUCCACACUUCCCAGUUCCACAGCUAAAAAGCCAGCCACAAUAGUCAGUGUGUUCAGCUUCAGUUCCACUCUCUUACACACCCCUUUUCCUUUGCACUUGGUGCCAUUGCCAAUUGUGACUCCAAACGAAGUGUCCUCAUCUAUUAAUAUGUGUCUUUCUUCUGCUAGUGUUUGGUGAAUAAAGUUGUGCGUCGCCCCGCUGUCUAUCAACACUGUUACUGCUUUCCCUUUAACCAUUCCCAUCAGCUUCAUAGUCCCUUUUGAUGACAAGCUGGUGAUAGUUCGAAGCUCAACCUCCUCCCCUUCUAUGAGGUCCAUUUUUUUCAGCUCCACUAUUUCCUCUGUAUUUUCUUCCGAAUUUUCUCCCUCAUUCCCGCCUUCUUCUUCAUUGCAAAUGAAAAGCAUCAAUUCUCUUUUUUCCUUCAGUUUGCACCUGUGGCCAGGGGCGUAUUUGUCGUUACACGUAAAACAUAAGCCCUUAUCUAGUCUUGCUCGAAAUUCCGAAUCUGAUAGUCUUUUGACUGGUGGAUCGUUUUUCUGGUAGUUUCCCUUAAUUGGAAUGGUGAUUUGUUUCAUCUGGAAUUCGGUCUUCCUUUGAGGGCCUUUCUCCAUUCCCCCUUGAGUCUCGCUCGUACUACUCUCAAUGCCUUUUGGUACUAUUAACCCAAACUCUGCUCUUGCCAAUCUUUAUGCCAGAUUGCGAUCAUUCACAAGCUGUGCCUCUUUCAUACAUUCUUCCAAGGUCUGUGGAUGUCUACUAAUUACUUCUGCCUGGAGUGCAGGUUCUAGCCCAGUUACAAAAGCAUCUCUCAAAACACUUUCGGCCAUGUAGGGUAGUGGGGCUGAGUAGUUAACAAACUUCUUUACAUACUCAUUAUAUGUCCCCUCUUGUUGGAUGCGAAUCAGCCUAGCACCCAAAUUUUUCUGGCCCGAAUCUUGAAAGAACGCAAACAUUCUUUCCUUCAAAUCUUCCCAGGAUUCUACCUUCUUGCAGUUAUUACUCCACCUGUACCAGUCAACCUCGUCUUGCCUAAAACUGACCACAGCUACCUUCACCUUUUCUGUUUCUGGCAAGUUGUUGAUCUCAAAAAAAUGUUCAGCUCAAUAGACGCAUGAUUCCGGAUUCUCCCCUGAGAACAUUGGCAUUUCCAGCUUUCUAUAUUUACUACGAUCCACUGUUGCAUUGUUCCCUUUUGUUGCAGCUUCAGUUUCUCCCAUUUUUCCCUUGAGUUUCAGCACGGAUUCGUCGGAUGUACCUGAUUCCUCCCUCUUUUUGUAACUAUUACUUUCCCUCAUCUCUUCUGCCAUUUUAUCCAAUGCUUUCUUCAUUUCUAACAUCAUCUCUUUUAGUCCCAAGAUCUCUUUCUCUGUCCCCUCCACUCGUUCUUCUACUUGCCGUUGAGCCAUUGCGCGCGUAACAACCCCCAGUUUCGAAAGCUCUGAUACCAGUUGUAAGGGUACUAACUAAAUAACACAGAAAAUUACCCCAACAGUAGCUAAACAGAAACAGUACUCUGCUGAUCUUUAUUUAUAUAUAAGCCAAAAGAUGAUUCAACAGCCCAAUAUAACAGUAAUAAAGAAAACGAUGGAAAAGAAACCUACCAACUCCUCUCUAUGGAGCUGGAAUAACCCUGGUCGGCUACAGCAGCCUUUACACCAAAAAAGAGAUAAAAAUAACCUGCCUACACUAAACCCUAGAAGCUCUAUAAAUAGCCCUCCUCACAUUCCUUCCCGCGGGCCCCACCUCUCCCUACUUUUCUUUUCUUUUUCUUCAAACUAUUCUCUCUCAUUAAUUUCCUGAACAUUUACCCUUUUACCCUUUCUCUUAUACGUGUGAAUUAUUGGUGGUCUUACACAUUGUUGUGGGGGACUCUGUUGAGUUGCUUCCUAUAGGAGUUUGAUGUACAGAUUGUUGGCCCAAGG
rnacentral:lncRNA from 1 species